rnacentral:lncRNA from 1 species
CCCAAAGCUUCACCUGCCUAACUCCUACUGAGCCUUCAGCCUCAGCAUGGACCCCACCUCCUUGCAGAGGCCUUCCCUGAGCCUCCAGACUAGGCCAGGUCCCCUCCCUGGAGAUUUCUGAUUUCGGCCAGGAGUAGCAUUUCCAACAAGCCCCCAAGUGAUUUUUUAAAAAGUAGAAGUUUGGAAGACUCUGCACACCGCUGCCCGGGGCUCUCACAGCACUCUUCAUUCUCCCGUCUCACUGGGCACACCUGGAACUGAUUAGUUACCUCCCUAAUGGCUGGGUCCACAUCUGUCUCGUCCAAGCCCAGUGGAGCCCUUUGCAGACUUCUCUGAUAAGUCUGCCUGAGCACAGUGGUCCUGACACAGCUGCAUGAUGAGUGGCACCGCUUUGUGAGGCUGUUGGACUAGCGAGGCUUUCCCUGAGUGUGGGUAAGCGAGGACUAGCAGGAACGUUGUACCCAAGCCAAUUGCUCACUUAUUAAAAUUUUGUUGAUUAAAGGAGCAAAAUGCUUAUAAUUAUGCAU